CUGAAUUUAAGCAUAUCAAUAAG
rnacentral:rRNA from 1 species